UACGAAGGGGGCUAGCGUUGCUCGGAAUGACUGGGCGUAAAGGGCGCGUAGGCGGAUGGCACAGUCAGAUGUGAAAUUCCCGGGCUUAACCUGGGGGCUGCAUUUGAUACGUGUUGUCUUGAGUUCGGAAGAGGGUCGUGGAAUUCCCAGUGUAGAGGUGAAAUUCGUAGAUAUUGGGAAGAACACCGGUGGCGAAGGCGGCUCACUGGCUCGUAUCUGACGCUCAGGCGCGACAGCGUGGGGAUCAAACAGG
rnacentral:rRNA from 1 species